rnacentral:rRNA from 1 species
GAUGAACGCUGGCGGCGUGCCUAAUACAUGCAAGUCGAGCGAACGGACGAGAAGCUUGCUUCUCUGAUGUUAGCGGCGGACGGGUGAGUAACACGUGGAUAACCUACCUAUAAGACUGGGAUAACUUCGGGAAACCGGAGCUAAUACCGGAUAAUAUUUUGAACCGCAUGGUUCAAAAGUGAAAGACGGUCUUGCUGUCACUUAUAGAUGGAUCCGCGCUGCAUUAGCUAGUUGGUAAGGUAACGGCUUACCAAGGCAACGAUGCAUAGCCGACCUGAGAGGGUGAUCGGCCACACGGGAACUGAGACACGGUCCAGACUCCUACGGGAGGCAGCAGUAGGGAAUCUUCCGCAAUGGGCGAAAGCCUGACGGAGCAACGCCGCGUGAGUGAUGAAGGUCUUCGGAUCGUAAAACUCUGUUAUUAGGGAAGAACAUAUGUGUAAGGAACUGUGCACAUCUUGACGGUACCUAAUCAGAAAGCCACGGCUAACUACGUG